rnacentral:rRNA from 1 species
CUCCUACGGGAGGCUGCAGUGGGGAAUAUUGGACAAUGGGCGCAAGCCUGAUCCAGCCAUGCCGCGUGGGUGAAGAAGGCCUUCGGGUUGUAAAGCCCUUUUGUCCGGAAAGAAAAGUUCUGGGUUAAUAACCCAGGAUCAUGACGGUACCGGAAGAAUAAGCACCGGCUAACUUCGUGCCAGCAGCCGCGGUAAUACGAAGGGUGCAAGCGUUACUCGGAAUUACUGGGCGUAAAGCGUGCGUAGGUGGUGGUUUAAGUCAGAUGUGAAAGCCCUGGGCUCAACCUGGGAACUGCAUUUGAUACUGGAUCACUAGAGUGCGGUAGAGGAUAGUGGAAUUCCCGGUGUAGCAGUGAAAUGCGUAGAGAUCGGGAGGAACACCAGUGGCGAAGGCGGCUAUCUGGACCAGCACUGACACUGAGGCACGAAAGCGUGGGGAGCAAACAGGAUUAGAUACCCUGGUAGUCCACGCCCUAAACGAUGCGAACUGGAUGUUGGGAGCAACUUGGCUCUCAGUAUCGAAGCUAACGCGUUAAGUCGCCGC